rnacentral:rRNA from 1 species
CACGUAGGGGACGAGCGUUGUCCGGAUUCAUUGGGCGUAAAGCGCGCGUAGGCGGCUCGGAAAGUCGGGCGUGAAAUGCCGGGGCUCAACCCCGGGACUGCGUCCGAUACUUCCGAGCUGGAGGUAGGUAGGGGAGAUCGGAAUUCCUGGUGUAGCGGUGAAAUGCGCAGAUAUCAGGAGGAACACCGGUGGCGAAGGCGGAUCUCUGGGCCU